rnacentral:tmRNA from 1 species
GGGGCCGUUUAUGGAUUCGACGGGAAUAGUUCGAGCAUGAGUAGCGAGUAGCGGGGCCGCGUCCGCUUCAUCAACGCUAAAGCCAUAAUAAAUGGCAAAGCACAACCUUCUUACGCAGUAGCAGCUUAAUAACCUGCUCUCGUGCUUCUACCUAGCAUCGCCCAUGUGCUAGGAUAGGGGCUCACCUUCAGUGGGAUACGCCGUCAGGUCUCCGCCUGGGGUCUGACGGAAGAAGACAAUCAGGCUGAUCGCGCGCGAAGCCGGUUCCGGGGCGUCCGCGCGAUGACAACAAUACCGUAACUACACUCGUAGAAGCUUGUGUGCCGUUAUUUUCGGACAGGGGUUCGACUCCCCUCGGCUCCAUAG